AGGACGGACGCUGGCGGCGUGCUUAACACAUGCAAGUCGAGGGCGGUAGCAAUACCGACCGGCGAACGGGUGCGUAACACGUGAGCAACCUGCCAAGGUGAGGGGGAUAGCCGGCCCAACGGCCGGGUAAUACCGCAUACGCUCUAUCCACGGCAUUGUGGACUGAGGAAACCUCCGGGGCACUUUGAGGGCUCGCGGCCUAUCAGCUAGUUGGCGGGUAAUGGCCCACAAGGCAUCGACGGUAGCUGGUCUGAGAGGAUGGCCAGCCACAUUGGGACUGAGAAACGGCCCAGACUCUACGGGAGCAGCAGUGGGAAUCUUGCGCAAUGGCCGAAAGCUGACGCAGCGACGCCGCGUG
rnacentral:rRNA from 1 species